UACGGAGGGUGCAAGCGUUAUCCGGAUUCACUGGGUUUAAAGGGUGCGUAGGCGGGCAGGUAAGUCCGUGGUGAAAUCUCUGAGCUUAACUCAGAAACUGCCAUGGAUACUAUUUGUCUUGAAUAUUGUGGAGGUGAGCGGAAUAUGUCAUGUAGCGGUGAAAUGCUUAGAUAUGACAUAGAACACCCAUUGCGAAGGCAGCUCACUACACAAUUAUUGACGCUGAGGCACGAAAGCGUGGGGAUCAAACAGGA
rnacentral:rRNA from 1 species